rnacentral:tRNA from 1 species
UAGAAAUGAGAGUUACGGUCUCUAUAGUUAUUUUAUCAAAAUAUUCCUUAUGUCUUCGGGCACA